ACUCAAAGGAAUUGACGGGGGCCCGCACAAGCGGCGGAGCAUGUGGCUUAAUUCGACGAAACGCGAAGAACCUUACCUGGGCUUGACAUGCGGGGUGAAACCGUGGAAACACGGCGCUCCUCGGAGCCCGCACAGGUGGUGCAUGGCUGUCGUCAGCUCGUGCCGUGAGGUGUUGCCUUAAGUGGCGCAACGAGCGCAACCCCUGUCCCUAGUUGCCAGCGGGUCAUGCCGGGAACUCUAGGGAGACUGCCGGUGCCAAACCGGAGGAAGGUGGGGAUGACGUCAAGUCAUCAUGCCCCUUAUGUCCAGGGCUGCACACAUGCUACAAUGCGAGGUACAGAGGGCUGCGAUCCUGCAAAGGGGAGCGAAUCCCAAAAAGCCUCGCUCAGUUCGGAUCGGGGUCUGCAACUCGACCCCGUGAAGUUGGAGUCGCUAGUAAUCGCAGAUCAGCAAUGCUGCGGUGAAUACGUUCCCGGGCCUUGUACACACCGCCCGU
rnacentral:rRNA from 1 species